UCAUAGGUUCUGUUAUUCUAAGAGCUCUGUGAAGGAAAAUUUUACACCAUCUGUUAUUUCUCAGUUUUGAGCUUUUUUUGUUUUUAAUUUUCCGCUACAAUCCUUGGUUUUCAUCUUCUUAUGUAUUGGAUUUUGGUCUAAUUUUCUAUAAUGAAGUGGGUACCGUUAAAGCACAUAUAUUUCAAACAGUUUAUCUCUUGGAGGCUGGCAAGAGAUUUUAUUAGACUUUAGUAUUGUUGAAGUUGAGCAAAUUAGAUAUUAGUAUUGAUUGGACUUCAUCUUUAUAAUCAUAUCUUUCUUUUGGUUUCUUUUUGCCUGAUUCUUCUUUUCUCUCUGUAAAGCUUUAGUUUUCUAUCUCAUUGAAUAUAUUUGCUCAAGCUUAUACGCUUACUUUCAUGGAUGCAUCUAAGGAAAGUAUGAUUGUAGCAUGGUGUUAGUUUUGCUUAUGUUGUGUGCAGUAAAGGAUUUAAUUUGAUUUUUCCUGCUAUUCCUCUGUUGCUCUUCUUCCUGUGUUGUUGUUCUUCAUUUGAAAGCCAAAAGGGUUAUUUAUUUCUUGGUUGACUCAUCAAUUUCUCUAUUUUGCGCAACAGAACUGAAUCCCUGGGUUGUCAGGAUGAAAGAUGAUCAGCCGUGGUUUUACAAACAAAAUCCCUCAACUCUAAGGAUAUUCUCAGACAUGAGACAACAGUAGAAGCUAAGGUUAAGAAGAAUGUGUUGAAACAUAUGAGAGGCAGAAGACAGGGUUCUGAGAAAACAACAAGUGUGAAUAUGAAUUUAUUGAAGUCAUAACUGAAGACAAGAAUUAUGCUGGUCGGUCUUGUGAGGCUCAUAGUAGAUAUAGACUUCAGGUCCCAAUUUGAGCUUGCAAGGCCUACAUAGCACUACAAAGAAUUGACAGACUCUCUCCAGUUAUCUUUGUUGGGACUGAGAAUAAACUCUGCAAGGUCAUUUAUUUUUGGAGUUUUUUUUUACUGUUGAGCUCCAUCAUGAGUGAUUGAUCAUCACAAAUAUUUUUCUUUUUGUCAAAUGUACGCUUAGUGCAAUCAAACAAUCAGUACCUAUUGUAGGUACUUAUUUAGAAUUUUAAGUAUUCUGUGAACAAACAGAAACAGUGGCUGUUAUCAUCUGCAUGAUUGUAAAUAUGAAUAUUCUUC